rnacentral:rRNA from 1 species
GGAUGAAGGCCUUCGGGUUGUAAACUGCUGUCACGCUUUAGGAAUAACCCGACGUGAAUAACGUCGGGAUUGACCAAGGCGAAAGGAAGCACCGGCUAACUCUGUGCCAGCAGCCGCGGUAAGACAGAGGAUGCAAACGUUGUUCGGAAUUACUGGGCAUAAAGCGCACGUAGGUGGUCCACUAAGUCGAGUGUGAAAUACCCCGGCUCAACCGGGGAAUUGCGCUCGAUACUGGCGGGCUCGAGGCCGAUAGGGGUGAGCGGAACUCCAGGUGGAGCGGUGAAAUGCGUAGAUAUCUGGAGGAACACCGGUGGCGAAAGCGGCUCACUGGAUCGGAUCUGACACUGAGGUGCGAAAGCUAGGGUAGCAAACGGGAUUAGAUACCCCGGUAGUCC